AACGAACGCUGGCGGCAGGCCUAACACAUGCAAGUCGAGCGCCCUUUCGGGGGAGCGGCGGACGGGUGAGUAACGCGUGGGAAUAUGCCCUUCUCUACGGAAUAGCCUCGGGAAACUGAGAGUAAUACCGUAUACGCCCUUUGGGGGAAAGAUUUAUCGGGGAAGGAUUAGCCCGCGUUGGAUUAGGUAGUUGGUGGGGUAAUGGCCUACCAAGCCGACGAUCCAUAGCUGGUUUGAGAGGAUGAUCAGCCACACUGGGACUGAGACACGGCCCAGACUCCUACGGGAGGCAGCAGUGGGGAAUCUUAGACAAUGGGGGCAACCCUGAUCGAGCCAUGCCGCGUGAGUGAUGAAGGCCUUAGGGUUGUAAAGCUCUUUCAGCUGGGAAGAUAAUGACGGUACCAGCAGAAGAAGCCCCGGCUAACUCCGUG
rnacentral:rRNA from 1 species